rfam:Felis catus isolate Cinnamon breed Abyssinian chromosome B4, whole genome shotgun sequence.
ACCUGAGUGGCUCAGUCGGUUGAGCGUCUGACUUCUGCUCAGGUGAUGAUCUCAUAGUUUGUGAGUUCGAGCCCCACGUCAGGCU